AGAGUUUGAUCCUGGCUCAGGAUGAACGCUGGCGGCGUGCCUAACACAUGCAAGUCGAGCGAUUCUCUUCGGAGAAGAGCGGCGGACGGGUGAGUAACGCGUGGGUAACCUGCCCUGUACACACGGAUAACAUACCGAAAGGUAUGCUAAUACGGGAUAAUAUAUAAGAGUCGCAUGACUUUUAUAUCAAAGAUUUUUCGGUACAGGAUGGACCCGCGUCUGAUUAGCUUGUUGGCGGGGUAACGGCCCACCAAGGCGACGAUCAGUAGCCGACCUGAGAGGGUGAUCGGCCACAUUGGAACUGAGACACGGUCCAAACUCCUACGGGAGGCAGCAGUGGGGAAUAUUGCACAAUGGGCGCAAGCCUGAUGCAGCAACGCCGCGUGAGCGAUGAAGGCCUUCGGGUCGUAAAGCUCUGUCCUCAAGGAAGAUAAUGACGGUACUUGAGGAGGAAGCCCCGGCUAACUACGUGCCAGCAGCCGCGGUAAUACGUAGGGGGCUAGCGUUAUCCGGAUUUACUGGGCGUAAAGGGUGCGUAGGCGGUCUUUCAAGUCAGGAGUUAAAGGCUACGGCUCAACCGUAGUAAGCUCCUGAUACUGUCUGACUUGAGUGCAGGAGAGGAAAGCGGAAUUCCCAGUGUAGCGGUGAAAUGCGUAGAUAUUGGGAGGAACACCAGUAGCGAAGGCGGCUUUCUGGACUGUAACUGACGCUGAGGCACGAAAGCGUGGGGAGCAAACAGGAUUAGAUACCCUGGUAGUCCACGCUGUAAACGAUGAGUACUAGGUGUCGGAAGGUACCCCCUUCGGUGCCGCAGCUAAC
rnacentral:rRNA from 1 species